AUGGCAAAGAGAAAAAAAGGAACAGAAAGGGAAUAGUGGAUGAGGAGACACAGCAUUAGCAAAAUUGGGAGGAAGAGGGGAGGGAAAAGUGUUAACCAAGAAAAGAAGAAAAACGGCACAGGUUGGCAAAUCCUGACCUAGCUUCCAGUGGGAAUAUGCGGCAUUUCACAUGGGCCUUCUGUUUUUACCAAGGUUAAAAGGACUCAAGGAACCAUGGUGUUCUUAUUUUGGGGGUCAGAAUGCAAACAAUCCUGGAGGGAAGAACAGUCUCAGAGGGGAAGGGCUUGACAAAGCGGCUCUCCAAACAUCAGCUUAGCAAUCAGCUCUUCAAGAAAAGAAAAUGUGGUCACUUUGUUAACUGAUACCUCCUGGAUUUUCCAGAACCAAGUUUAUUCCAGAAUCUCUAAAAGACAUUGUUCCUCAACCCAUUUUGCAACCAUUUGGCUGGUUUCCUGGAUUCCUGCUAAAAAUAAGAAAGGGAUUGGUCCCCGCAAACACAGCCAGGGUUUCCUGCCCGUGUCAGACCGCAGGUGAUACGCAGAAGUAGGAAACAGCUAGACCUGCCCCAAGCCCACACAGAACUGCACCUCAGAUGUGAAUCAUGGUUUGGCUUAGAAGGUUGCACGUGCUCAAACUGAGAAAGAAAGCAGACGUGGGACUUCCCUCUCGCCUCUUUCUGGAGGAAGUGAAAUCACACUUCCGCAGCACUGAGGUAUAUCUUUUGCAUAAAAGUGGCCUUUUUCUUUUAGAGACCAACAUUCGGGUUUUUAGGCCCUUUGAGAGUAGCCAUCUGGAGAGUUUCUGCGAUUGCAUAUGCAUUUCAGCACGAGAAAAAGCAGAGGAAGUUGCCAGUGAGCAGAAUAAAGCGGGAAAGGAAUGUGUGACCCCCCCCACAGUCAAGGUCUCAUGGCCACUUCCUCACACCUGACCGCCAGGAGCAGCAAGUCCUGCCGGUAGCACGCAAAUUCAAGUUGUGCUGGAAUUCCCGUCAUUCUACACUUCUCUUUGCAUUGUUUCUCCAUGAAUAGAAAAGAGAACUUCCUUGAACACAGCAAUCGCAGGCUUCACAUCAUUUCAGAAGAGUGAGAAUGCAACAGGAUCUGUUAACAAGUAAACAAAAAGUAAGAAACUGUCAGCAUGUCUCCAAAACCGGAUGAAGAAGCUCAGCAGAAUAAGACUUGCCCUGGUCAUACACCAGGCAAGCGCAGAGGGGGACUUGACUUUAGGACUGCCUGACUCCACUGUCCGUCCAUGGUCUGAAUCACUACUCUGUUGACUCUCAGAUGC